rnacentral:rRNA from 1 species
GACGAACGCUGGCGGCGUGGAUUAGGCAUGCAAGUCGAACGGUAUCACCUUUCGGGGGUGAGAGAGUGGCGAACUGGUGAGUAACACGUAGGUUAUCUACCCUCAAGACGGGGACAACCCAGGGAAACUUGGGCUAAAUACCGGAUGUGAGCAACUUUAGUUGUUUGAAAGGUGGCGUAAGCUGUCGCUUGGGGAUGAGCCUGCGUCCUAUUAGUUAGUUGGUGAGGUAACGGCUCACCUAGGCAAUGAUAGGUAGGCGGCCUUAACGGGUGGUCGCCCACACUGGGAUUGAGAUACGGCCCAGACUCCUACGGGAGGCAGCAGUCGAGAAUAGUCUACAAUGGUCGGAAGACUGAUAGUGCGACGCCGCGUGAACGAUGAAUCCCUUCGGGGUGUAAAGUUCUUUUAUAUGUGAGCAGUGCUUCUUAUAUUAACAGUAUGGGGAGAGAGAUAUUAGCAUAUGAAUAAGCAACGGCUAACUCCGUG